rnacentral:piRNA from 1 species
UGGGAGCCAGGUAAGCCUUUCAGAAAUGA